GAGAGCUUUGGUUAUGGCGCGACGUUGAGUGUGUUACAAAAUUAGAAUGUACAUUUUUGCUUUUGUAUUUUUGGGAUGUGUAGAAUGCAUUUUAUCGAUUCAAUAAAAUAUCCAUACGAUAAGGAGUAUUGUGUAAUGUGGACUGGCGGUACUGUAAGAACCACUAACUGUAGAGUGUGUGAUUUGUUUUAACCUGUGUAGGUCCAUCGUUUCAGUCUUAAAAGUUUUUGUCAGGAACCAUAAGUUUUCGUGUGAGAUCUCAACACGUUAUGCUGUGUGAUUAUCUGCCUUGUUGUGUUAUUGAUGGGGAUUUUGUGCAUGGAUUGACCGUCUGAGCAUCAACUGAAAAUCAUGUGAACUUUCUACUGAAGCUGCCAUAAAGGACACACAUUACACAGAUUUAUUUGGACAGGAUAUUCAACAUGGAGAGCCUCAGCACUGUUGGUACCUACAACUUGAGUUUCAGAGAAGUGCUACCCCACAGAACAACAGCUGAAAAGUGGAAAGAGAUCACAGUAAAUGUAGGAAGUUCACAAAGCACUUUGAGGGACAUAAAAGUACCAGAGAAGUCGGGGGGCUACUCAUAUAAAGACGUUAAUGGUACAUUUACGAGAAAUAGAUUUAUAUACUGGCGCAUCUGUCAUGAUGUCCUUGAAAUUGCAGAAAAUAGUUUGGAUUUUAAUUUAGCUGGCGACAGUGUGCGUUACAAGUUUCAAAAUUCUCCAAUACUGGAAGGAAUUUCCAUUUUUGAGACAAAAUCACGUGUUGUUAUAUUAGUGACAACAGUCUCUAGUGUGCAUAAGCUAUCUUUCCCACAUCCAAAUGAGAUGUAUAGUGUGGAUUAUAUUACUAAACAUCAUCCUGAUUUAUCACUUAAGUCCAUUUUCCAUGAUGCCUCACUGAGUGCAGCAAAAGAUCCCAGUACAUUUUAUGUUAUUGAUCAUACAACAACAAAUUCACCAUUGCCCCACUGUGCUGCGUCUCUGUUUACAAUGAACAAAUCAUGUUUAUUUGCGUUAGCUUAUUCAACGGGGACUAUCACGCUGGUUGAUAUGGACAAAAACGGUGAAGUAGAUUUAAAAGAAAUAAAAGAGACUUCAAUUUUUCCUCGAUUUUUGAAGGGAAUUCUGCGUGGUAAAACUGCCUACGAAAUGGCUGUGAGUAUGGUACUACACGCAUUUGAUGUUGACUAUGGCCUAUUUAGCCUUCAUCGAGAUGGUGUUCUCCGAAUGUGGUCGUGCAACAGCUCGGACUGUCUUGCAGAAAUUGAUAUUGCUUCUAAUAAAACAGUUAAUGGUGUGCGACCCACAGAAGGUGUGCAGCCUCAUAUUAUGAAGAAGACUUCUGGCAUAGAUGAAGGUGUCUGUACACUUUGUGUUUACCUUAACUUUUCUCAGUUCUCUGAAGUGCAUUUAAUAAAGCUGGUAAACCGAGAAGGGACAUUUGUCUUUGAAAAUGUAUUUGUUAUUGAUGCUCUGCCACAUGAUUUAAUUGAUCUUUCCAUAGGAUCACAGCGCAUAUGGGCUCUGUGGCGUACAACAGAAGGUAACACACUUGUAUCGAGCAUCGUACUGAACUACAAAGAUCAUGGCUGGCAAUUUUCUUUAUUAGAAAAAUUGCCGAGUAUUGAAGCGUGUGUAUCUGCUGGCAUGGAUAUUGCGGAAGAGUGUCUGAAUUACAUAUUUUAUCCGGGAAGAUUUCCUCUGUCUGUCAUUACAAAAGCUGUGACCAUUUUUCGCCGUAGCACAGUUACUGCUUCUUAUUCUUUGUCACUGAGGCGGCUGAAACAGAUUGUUAUAUUAGCAAUUGAGGCUGAAAUUGAUAAAGAUCCACUGAACAAGGAGCUCAAUGACAUUGAUAAAUUGGACUUGGUGUACCAGACGUGGCUACGUUUUUAUUCUUGCUGUGUUCAGCUAUAUGAGGCACAUACUCGUCCACUUGGUUUGUUACCUUUACAUAGUUCUGGAAUAGUGCUAGUCAAGAAACAGGAAUAUUCCCUAUUGAGACCAAUGGAAACAUUAGAAUACAUGUUACUGGCAGGAUCGGAAUUAAUAGCCAAACAGACGUUUCACCUUCUUCCUCCAGAGCGAAAACAAUAUGAUGUCAUGCAGGACUUGAUUCUUUUGAUGUCAGUAUUGAUCGCAUUAGAAGAGAGGCUACCUGAAGAUAUGAAAGAGCAUUUCAUGGAGCAAAUGCAGCAACAAAAGAGUCCAGACCAGGUGGCAGAAGCUAUGUUACACGAACUCACUGCAGAACGAGCUGUGUAUGACAAUGACUUCUUAAUAAAUAUUGGAAAGAAAUUGAAUGGGAUAAAAAAUUUGUAUUCCACACUUGUGUUGCUCAUUGAUACUCUCACACUGAAACAAUGUUCUUUGAGAGGGGAAGCAUAUGAGAAUACGAAGGAGGCAUUUAGAGAUUUGGGGCCAUCUCUCAAAUAUGUGUACAGCAGCAGUCUGGCAGUGCCUGCAAUAGCAAUGAGCUUGCACCAAUUUGUUACUGUCAGGUAUUCAAUUUGCAGGAGCCUUCUUUUGCUCCAGCAGUUAUUACUGUGUUACCACAAGAAAUUGCUGUUCAAAAUAGUGGAUUCACAAUAUGCAGAUGUCUUGCAUAAUUCCUUGGUCCCCAGUGUGGUGUUGGCUGCACAGUCAUAUUUUGUUCUGCUGUGGGCAUGUACUACGACUAUUAUGUUUGGAGGCCCUCCAUCGUCAGCUCAUGACAGUUAUUUUACAUCUGAAGCAAGCACCUCUCUGUCCCGUUCCUCUUCGUACCAGAGAACUGUCACGGUGCUGGAAGCAUAUUUGCAGCAGUGGAACAAUACAGUGCCAGCAAGAACGUGGUUGGAUUACUGGGCAAUUGAAGACUUUUCCAUGUGGCACAGUUCAAUGCUAGCAUAUACAACGUUAUUGUGUCAGCAGUUAUGGCCAGUGUGGAAUAACUUUGAUCUUCCAAACUUCCUGUUAUCAGUGGGACAGUGUACACUGGUACAACAGUACAUGCGACUUCUGGACAGCUGGUGUGAAUCUUAUGCAAGUUCUCGGAAAUAUCUGCAUGGACUGGCAUUAUUACAGCUUGGUCAUCAUCACAAGGCACUUGAUUGCCUCGUGCAGGCAUCUGCUGGCAUGGAAGAUGCUGUCUUCUUGGAGUUGAUUGACUGCCAGAAUGCAGAUCCAGAACGACUACAGGUGCAGUACUACUUAAAUCUGAUUAAGAAGUUUGAGAUGGAAAAGCAUUGGGAUAGUGUAAUAAACUUAGCUACAAUUGGUCUUAGCAAAGCUAAAACAAAUGAAGACAUAUGUACAUUUCAGUCUAUAAUAUUUUUACAACACAUGAAACUGGGACAUUAUGUUGAAGCAUUUUAUAUACUUCCACAAAUGCCAGUUUCUGUAUGUCGUCAUGAUUGUAUGCGACAAGCUAUCGUCACUUUGACAGAAAGAAAUCAUUUUGAUUAUCUUCUGGAGUUUCCUUGCCAGGAUAUGUACUCAGAAUUUGAGAGUAUUCUCUUAUCAAGAGCACGAACUAUGGAUUUACAGGAUUCUCCAUACUACAACUUCAUGUAUUCCUUCUUCAUCAAAAGGGGACAGCUAUGGGAUGCAGCCAAAGUAAUGUAUGAACAAGGAUUUCGCCUAGGACGUGAAGGAGAUGGAACUCUCUCAACUAUAGAAACACAAAGUCACUGCUAUUUAGCUGCAAUUAAUAUCCUCUCACUUCUUGAUGAAGAUGUGGCGUGGGUUGUGAAGCCUAUUGAAAAAGUCCCAAUGGGAAAUGGAUUAUUGGACACAGAAUUAGAUGAACUAGAAGAGGCACUUGGUGAAGAACAGGAACAUGAAGUACAACUCGAAGAGUCACAUGAAGAAUUGAAAGAAGAAACUAUAGAUGAUGCCAUUGAGGUGAAACUGCAGGAAGAUGUGUGUGAUCAGCAGAGGAAGGUAAAUGAGGUGCCUCAACAAGAACAGGAAAAUGACAAAGAUGUGGAAAUUGUGGGAGAAGUAAAAGAAAGGCUUACCAAGGAGGAGAGGUGCAGGAGAGCUCUAGCUGUUAUGGAGGAAUUUGAGAGAGAACUUGAAGAAGAACUGGAAAAAGGUGUCGAGGAAGAGAUGAAAGAUGAGGAAAUGUUAAAAUGUGAAAGGAAAGAUAAAGUACAGCUGUUAACUGUUAAUGAAGUGCGUAAGGAAUAUAAGGUAGUUAUGGCAAAAAUAAGACUGAUGAAAUUCUGUCCCAGAGAAUACUCCAACAUGGCGCCUGGUUUGGGAGUAAAUGACUUUGUGGCAGUGCUAACUAGUGUUGGGUUAUAUGAAUUAGCACUUGAACUGUGUGAUACUUUUUCUCUCUCCAUGCAGUCAGUAUUUGAGGCACUCACCAUGACCUGUAUUUCACUGUCAACAUUGCGGCGUUACACCACUGAGGACUUGGAUUAUGCUUGGCAGUGGUUACAUGAAAAUGGUGUGUCAAACAUUGUGGUCAGUGAGCACAAUAUAGUAAAUCUUGCUUGGGGCCUAUUGGAAACUUUGUGUGAAAAAUAUGAAGGACAAGAUGACACACAGCUACACAAGGGUUUGGUCUGAAAUGUGCACCUUGAAACAAAUUGAUGCAGGCAUUUUAUUUUUCUCACAUUGUUCAAUUCUCUUCAUUGUGAGACAUCACAAUUCCAAUAUUCAGGCUAUUGCUGAAAGAUUAUUGCUACUUGAUAUGCAAAUACCUCACUGGAUUCAGGAUUACUACUGUCAGUAUAACCCCACGGAAUACCUUCGACUACUUUUACGUUAUGGUCAGUUUGAGAAUGCUGCUG
rnacentral:misc_RNA from 1 species